rnacentral:rRNA from 1 species
CCUACGGGCGGCAGCAGUGGGGAAUAUUGGACAAUGGGGGAACCCUGAUCCAGCCAUGCCGCGUGUGUGAAGAAGGCCCUCGGGUUGUAAAGCACUUUCAGUGAGGAAGAACGCCUGGUGGUUAAUACCCAUCAGGAAAGACAUCACUCACAGAAGAAGCACCGGCUAACUCCGUGCCAGCAGCCGCGGUAAUACGGAGGGUGCGAGCGUUAAUCGGAAUUACUGGGCGUAAAGCGCGCGUAGGUGGCUUGAUAAGCCGGUUGUGAAAGCCCCGGGCUCAACCUGGGAACGGCAUCCGGAACUGUCAAGCUAGAGUGCAGGAGAGGAAGGUAGAAUUCCCGGUGUAGCGGUGAAAUGCGUAGAGAUCGGGAGGAAUACCAGUGGCGAAGGCGGCCUUCUGGACUGACACUGACACUGAGGUGCGAAAGCGUGGGUAGCAAACAGGAUUAGAUACCCCAGUAGUC